CCCUUAGAGUUUGAUCCUGGCUCAGAACGAACGUUGGCGGCAUGGAUUAGGCAUGCAAGUCGAACGAAUGCCAGGGUAGCAAUACCAUGGCGGAAGUGGCGAAAGGGGCAGUAAUACAUGGAUAACCUACCCUGGGGAUGGGCAUAGCCGGUCUAACGGCCGGGUAAUACCCAGAGAUUCGGCGGCGGUGGCAUCAUCGCUCCGGGAAAUGAAUUUCGCCUCGGGAGGGGUCCAUGAGCUAUCAGCUAGUUGGUGAGGUAACGGCCCACCAAGGCAAAGACGGCUAGCGGGUGUGAGAGCACGACCCGCGCCACUGGCACUGAGACACUGGCCAGACACCUACGGGUGGCUGCAGUCGAGGAUCUUCGUCAAUGGGCGCAAGCCUGAACGAGCGAUGCCGCGUGAGCGAUGAAGGCCUUCGGGUUGUAAAGCUCAAAAGAGGUGAGAAAGGGAAACUUGAUCAAGCCUCAGUAAGCUCGGGCUAAGUUCGUGCCAGCAGCCGCGGUAAGACGAACCGAGCGAACGUUGUUCGGAAUCACUGGGCUUAAAGGGCGCGUAGGCGGAUUUGCAAGUCCGUGGUGAAAUCCCACAGCUCAACUGUGGAACUGCCUCGGAUACUGUGAGUCUCGAGGGUGGUAGGGGUAUGCGGAACUAUCGGUGGAGCGGUGAAAUGCGUUGAUAUCGAUAGGAACUCGGGU
rnacentral:rRNA from 1 species